rnacentral:misc_RNA from 1 species
GUAGGUGAACCUGCGGAAGGAUCAUUACUGAAUGUCGAGGGUUGUAGCUGACACCUUUGGGUGUAUGUGCUCGCCUUCAAUUCAUUUUACCACCUGUGAACCUUUGUAGACUGUGGAUGUUGGUUUCAGCUAGCAAUAGUUGGUUUGAGGUUGCUUAACGGCUUCCUUGCGCGUCCCAGUCUAUGUUUAUCAUAUACUCUGUAUGUUUUGAAUGUCAAUUUAUGGGUCUUGUACCUAUAGAACUUAAUAC